rnacentral:rRNA from 1 species
GAACGGGUGAGUAACACGUGAGCAACCUGCCCUUGACUUCGGAAUACCAGCUGGAAACAGCUGCUAAUACCGGAUAUGACCUCGGCCCUCAUGGGUUGGGGUGGAAAGCUCCGGCGGUCAGGGAUGGGCUCGCGGCUAUCAGCUUGUUGGUGAGGUAAUGGCUCACCAAGGCUUCGACGGGUAGCCGGCCUGAGAGGGCGACCGGCCACACUGGGACUGAGAUACGGCCCAGACUCCUACGGGAGGCAGCAGUGGGGAAUAUUGCACAAUGGGCGCAAGCCUGAUGCAGCAACGCCGCGUGCGGGAUGACGGCCUUCGGGUUGUAAACCGCUUUCAGUAGGGACGAAGCUAACGUGACGGUACCUACAGAAGAAGGACCGGCUAACUACGUGCCAGCCGCCGCGG